GGAAGUGAGGGCGAUCUGGCUACAACAUCCGUCACCUUAUUGAUAACCAGUGUUGAUUUGGGUGAUCUGGCUGGCUAGGCGGGUGUCCCCUUCCUCCCUCAGCACUCCAUGUGUGUCUCUCCCAAAGCUGAGUGCUCAGUAGAAGAGGAUGAACAUCCCCGAUAAAGGAGGGCCAGUCUUUGGUCAAGGGUAUACGAGUAGCUGCGCUCCCCUGUUGGAACCUCCGCACAAGCUCUCAAAAACAGGCAGUGUGCUGGCUUUGGCCCAUACCUUUGCUGGCCAGCCUCUGUUUUUAG
rnacentral:snRNA from 1 species